rnacentral:rRNA from 1 species
UACGUAGGGAGCAAGCGUUGUCCGGAAUCAUUGGGCGUAAAGCGCGCGUAGGCGGCCUCAUAAGUCCGUUGUGAAAGUCAAAGGCUCAACCUUUGAAAGCCGAUGGAUACUGUGAGGCUAGAGUUCGGAAGAGGCGAGUGGAAUUCCUGGUGUAGCGGUGGAAUGCGCAGAUAUCAGGAGGAACACCAAUAGCGAAGGCAGCUCGCUGGGACGAUACUGACGCUAAGGCGCGAAAACGUGGGGAGCGAACAGG